GUGCUCACUUCAGCAGCACAUAUACUAAAAUUGUAAUGCUACAGAGAAGAUUAGCAUGGCCCCUGCACAAGGAUGACAUGAAAAUUUGUGAAGCAUUCCAUAUUUUU
rnacentral:snRNA from 1 species